rfam:Triticum aestivum genome assembly, contig: Triticum_aestivum_CS42_TGACv1_scaffold_466214_5DS
GGAUGCGAUCAUAUCAGCACUAAAGCACCGGAUCCCAUCAGAACUCCGAAGUUAAGGGUGCUUGGGCGAGAGUAGUACUAGGAUGGGUGACCUCCUGUGAAGUCCUCUCGUUGCAUUCC